GCUGGAGUGGCGGAAUUGGUAGACGCCCAGGACUUAAGAUCCUGUGAAGGUAACUUCGUGAGAGUUCGAGUCUCUCUUCCAGCACCA
rnacentral:tRNA from 1 species